AUAUGGAUUUAAUGAUACAACAACUCAAAAGACUAGCAGUGAAUUACAUCAGUACACAGCAACAGAUGCUACAUAGCAAUUAAUGUUACAGCUUUCAGAGACGUAUCUAUAACCUAAGUUCAUUUUCCGGGGACAAAGUUAGUGGCAUAAGCCCAUGCAUUGUUGGCCACCGGAUCGGCAAGGUGGUCAAAGAGGUUCUCAAUGGGACCCUUUCCUGUGACAAUAGCCUGGACAAAGAAUCCAAACAUGGAGAACAUUGCAAGGCGGCCAUUCUUGAUCUCCUUAACCUUCAAUUCUGCAAACGCAUCAGGAUCAUCAGCCAGUCCAAGUGGGUCGAAAGCACCACCUGGGUAAAUUGGGUCCAGUCCUUCACCAAGUGGUCCCCCACCAACUCUGUAUCCUUCAACAAAUCCCAUGAGCACAACUUGGCAAGCCCAGAUUGCAAGAAUGCUCUGAGCAUGGAUAAGGUUUGGGUUGCCAAGAUAGUCAAGGCCGCCCUCGGAGAAUAUUUGAGAUCCAGCUUUGAACCAAACUGCCUCUCCGAACUUAACUCCAUUCUUUGAAAGAAUUUCAGGGAAGACACAACCAAGGGCACCAAGCAUUGCCCAUCUGCAGUGGAUCACUUCAAGCUCACGGUUCUUAGCAAAUGUCUCAGGGUCAGCUGAUAACCCAGCAGUGUCCCACCCAUAGUUACCAGGGAAUUCACCUGUCAGGUAUGAUGGGAUUUGGUCUGAGAAUGGACCCAAGUACUUUGGGCGGUCAGGGCCAUACCUGUUUUUAAAACCAAACCGUAGGUAAUCAGAUCAAGAUGCAGAAAUAUAGUUCAGUUGCAUGAUUUCACUUGUACAUGUUAUUUCUCUUUAAAUGUAUUGUUUAAAAUAAGGCAGAUUGCUGCUAGAAUGUACUGUACAAAUUGAAUUUUUUACAGUCUGUUGUUUCACAAUAUUUGGGUUAACCAUCAAUGAUUAGACUGAAAAGAUCCUUAUAACAAAAUGCUACUAGUUAGUACUAGGAAGUAGUAACAAGAGUAUACCAG
rnacentral:lncRNA from 1 species